UCGUAGCCGAUGUUCCACAGCAG
rnacentral:miRNA from 1 species